AGCAAUUCCCUCUAUAAACCCCCAUAAACCCUCGGCCUAUACAAGUUCCCAGAGAGCCAUUACAAACUUUUGCUAUUGUUGUGCACAUUGUGCAAAGACAACCUCUAAGGUUGUGAGAGAGCUCCUUGUUUUGGUGGCCGGAGAUCACAGAGAGCUAGCUAGUAAUGGGCCCAGGAGGACCGGGAGGGCCGGGACCGGGACCAGGACCGGGAGGACCCCCCGGACCAGGUGGAUGGGGCCCACCUGGACCGGGAGGACCCCCCGGACCGGGUGGAUGGGGCCCACCUGGUCCUGGUGCACCAGGACCUUUCUUCUGUGGCUUUUUUGACAUGAUUGGUUCUUGCCUGAACUUCAUAUGCUGCUGCUGGUUGCUACGAGAUUGCUUCGGAGGUCCAUUGGGCCCACCUGGGCCUCCCGGACCCCCCGGCCCAGGUGGCCCACCUCCUCCAUGAAUCAUCUGCUUCCCAGUUCCUACCAUACUACGUGCUACUGCUAUCUUAUUAAUUUUACAGCUAUCUAUUAUGUAAAAAUAAUGACAGCUUUGGAGCAAAAGGACUUGUAUUCUUGAAAGAGAUUGAUGUCUGGUUUUUUGUGUGCCAGUUAAAAAUGUCUCUUCAUCGAUGGAUGUUUGACAUUUGUAUGAAUUGACUUGAUCGUAGCCGUCGGACCCAUCACCCAUGGGUGUGAUGUUAUAUAUGAUCCUAUUUAUCCAAUUUCAAUGCAUUAAUUCUUUGAGUUUAUUAUUCA